AUGGAUGAUUCUAGGGUUUGGUUUGGUUGGUUGCGUGUCUCUCCUGGGUGAGUUUAAAAAGAAGUCUAGUUAGUAUAAUUAAUGUCGUCGAGUAUGAUCAAUUUAACCGAAGAUGUUGGCGCCGGUCGGGCGGAUCUAUGAUAGAAAUAGUGGAUUCGGUUGUUGGUUGAUGGUCUGGUAUGGUAUGGAAUGAUGUAGUUAUAGGCAGCAGCAAUGAGCAACUUGUAGCUAGUCUCUUUCUUGGUUGCAGACUUUGACAGUUUUGUUUUCCUUUCUCUUCUUGUGUUUGCCUCUUCCUCCUCGUUGUCUUCUUUUUCUUUUUCUUCUGUUUGAGUUGCUUGCGGAGAAGUUGAUUCACUGAUAUCCGUUGUGAUUUGGGUUCUUACAUAAUUGUGAGAUGCCAAUCAUGCAUUUCAUGACAAAAUUCAGUGAACUAUGUAAAAAUUGUCGCUCCUUCAUGCUCAGGCACACCAUUUUCACCUUAAUAUUGAAACCCAUGGUCGAAGAUUUCAUCCUCAUGCUCAUCCUCUAUAAUCAUGUUGUGCAUGAUCACACUAGCACUCAUCGCUUCCCAAAACUUUUUGGUGCUCUUAAGUUCUAGCAGGAUAUUGAAUGAUGCCUCAUCGAGAUUGAAGAGCACCAAAAGCACGCUCCACAUUCUUUCUAGCACUCUUUUGUGUUUGGGCAAAUCACUGCCUCUUCUCUCCUAUCAGGUUGGGGAUUGUUUUCACAAGAGUAACGCACUGAGGAUAAAUACCAUCAGCAAGGUAGUAUCCUUUGUUAUAGUGGUAGUAGUUGAUGUCAAUAUUGACCUCUGGGCAAUUGCCUUUUGCAAGCCUUCCAAACACCGAAGAACGCUGAAGCACGUCGUGUCAUUGUGAGAGCCGGCCGUGCCGAAAAAAGAGUACCAAAUCCAAAGAUCUUGUGAAGCACGGCCUCAAGUAUGACAUUGCAAACUUUCACAUGACCUCUAUACUACCCCUGCCAAGCAGAUAGACAAUUCUUCCACUUGUAGUGCUUACAAUCUGUGUGCUACCAAGCAUCCCCGAAAAGCCCCUAUCUGCAUUGAUCACCAACAACCUGGUGCAACAGUUGGCUCUCUCAAGUACUCCCGACCAAACACUACUAGCACAAUCUUCCAGAACCUGUACAUGGAUUCUAGGCACGUGGACUCACUCAUGCGGACAUACUCAUCAAUCAGAUCACAUGGUAUUUUGUAUGCAAGCACUCGAAUAGCUGCAGUGUAUUUCUGAUAAGAGGAGAAGCCAACCUCUCCCAAGGACAUCCUCCUUGCAUACAAAAUAAUCAUCGUAUGCCACAACCCCCUCGCGAAUACGAGAACACAUGUCUACCCAUCCGGAAGCGGCACCGGAAUAGCUUGUGUUUGAAGAGUGGGGAAGAGACUUGAAGUAGUCUUCUGAGAGUAGGCAAAGGCCGUUCUCUCUGUUGUGAUUCAACGCCGGAGCAUGGCCCGGGAUCGAGCCCCUAAACAUCGACCACUGCCUAGCAAUGUGGUCAUUGACGGCCAAAGUAGCAACCACAAACUCCUCAUCGUCCAACGAUGAAUCAUCUGAAUCACAAAUGAAGUAGUCGAAAAAGUAUUCGUCUCCACUAUCCAUUUGUACCUUGCGGACGAAACGUCGAACACCUUGCGGGCGUGGUUGAAGAAGCCGACCGGCGAAGAGCCCCGCGCCUCUUCCAGACCAGGCAGCAGACCUGUCGGCAUGGUGGCGACCGUGGAGGCGAACAUCGAUCGAGGAAGCCAGGAUUGGAGCGUUGCCGACGGCGCCGGAGGUGAGGGUGGUGGCAUGGUCGUGGGGGGUUGGGGGGGGGGGCGCGCUACGACAACGGUGAAACUAGGCCUGGCUCGCUGGCAAGGGUACCCGUCGGGAGCGGCCUGUUGCCGGGGGAGGUUUGUGGGUGCGGGCGGCGGCCUGGGCAAUGUACAACCGACCGAACCGGGUGAAGGCGGGGUGCCCGGGUGUCUUAGCUUUGGACGAGAGAGGAGGGUAACUUCCAAUGUACCACCGAAUGACGGGCUAGGGGGAGGACAAGGGCGGGCGUCGCGUGCGUCCGCCUCAUGUCCGUGCUGAUGCAAACCCGACUCAAAUCUGGGCCUGAAAUGAGUCGCAUGCAGACAAAAAGCGGACACACGCCCACUUUUGUCGGCACAUUGGGCCGCGGUUUGUGUUCCUUUCAACCCAAACAGAUGUGCACGGACAGAAUGCGUCGGUGCAUUGGAGUUGGUCUUAGACACCACCCUCAUUGCAAGAAAUGUGCACGUAGUGGCGAAGAAAAGGUGCCAGACCAGAGGCUCCCCACGCUCAUAGGGGUGAGGAACGACCCAACAUGGCUGGACGGUGGAGUGGCCGUGAGGCAGGCAGAAGGGGGCGCCACUAUUCCAUUGGACGACGCGGAGGGCGCGCGAGGCGGCGGAUGGUGUGCGGAGGCGGUACUCCAUCAUCCUUUAUAAGAGUAAUUGCAUCCUUUAUAAGAGUAAUUCGGUGAUGGUCGAUGUAUCAACAUGUAAUAUCCACAAAUUGAUGGAAAUAUGCCCUAGAGGUAAUAAUAAAGUUGUUAUUAUUGUAUUUCCUUAUUCAUGAUAAAGGUUAUUAUUAAUGCUAGAAUUGUAUUGAUCGGAAACUUAAAUACAUGUGUGGAUACAUAAACGAAUACCGUGUCCCUAGUAAGCCUCUACUAGACUAGCUCGUUGAUCAAAGAUGGUUAAGGUUUCCUAACCACGGACAUGUGUUGUCAUUUGAUAACAGGAUCAUAUCAGGAGAAUGAUGUGAUGGACAAGACCCAUCCGUUAGCUCAGCAGAUGAUCGUUUAGUUUAUUGCUACUGCUUUCUUAAUGUCAAAUACAUAUUCCUUCGACCAUGAGAUCAUGCAACCCCGGAUACCGGAGGAAUACCAUGUGUGCUGUCAAACGUCACAACGUAACUGGGUGAUUAUAAAGAUGCUCUACAGGUAUCUCCGAAGGUGUCUGUUGAGUUGGCAUGGAUCAAGAGUGAGAUUUGUCACUCCGUAUAAUGAAGAAGUAUCUCUGGGCCCUCUCGGUAAUACAACACCAUAAGAAGCUUGCAAGCAAAGUGACUAAGGAGUUAGUUACAGGAUGAUGUAUUACAUAACGAGUAAAGAGACUUGCCGGUAACGAGAUUUAACUAGGUAUGGAGAUACUGACGAUCGAAUCUCAGGCAAGUAACAUACUGACAGACAAAGGGAACUACGUAUGUUGUCAUAAGGGUUCGACCGAUAAACAUCUUCGUAGAAUAUGUAGGAACUAAUAUGGGCAUCCAGGUCCCGCUAUUGGCUAUUGACUGGAGAAGCGUCUCGGUCAUGUCUACAUCAUUCUCGAAUCCGUAGGGUCCACACGCUUAACGUUCGUUAACGAUAUAAUAUUAUAUGAGUUAUGUAUGUUGGUGACCGAAUGUUGUUCGUAGUCCCGGAUGAGAUCACUAACAUGACAAGGAGCUCCGGAAUGGCUCGGAGGUAAAGAUUGAUAUAUAGGAUGAUAUGGUUAGGCGAAGGGGUAAGGCCCACAGGGCUUUAGGUCGGUGCAAAAGGAAGUUUUGCGAAGGUUAGGGACCAGAUGCAGGGACCCUGGCGUCUGGCCCUGGGCCAAACGCCAAGAACUGUGGCGUCUGGUCCUGGAGUCCGAGAAGGACUCUUGCCUUGCGGGUAAAACCGAGUUUUAGGAGGCUCUUUAUCCAAGAAAUGACCCCAGGGCUCAACAUAUAAAUAGAGGGGCAGGGCUAGCACCCGGAACACAUCAAGAUUCACCAAGCCGUGUGCCGGCAACCCCGCCCCCUCUAGUUUAUCCUCCGUCAUAGUUUCUGUUGUGCUUGGCGAAGCCCUACGGAGAUUGUUCUUCAUCACCACCGUCACCACGCCACCGUGCUGACGGAACUCAUCUACUACUUCGCCCCUCUUGAUGGAUCAAGAAGGUGAGGACGUCAUCGAGCUGAACGUGUGCUGAAUGCGGAGGUGCCGUGCGUUCGGUACUUGAUCGGGACGGAUCGUGAAGGUGUUGGAAAUAUGCCCUAGAGGCAAUAAUAAAAUGGUUAUUAUUAUAUUUCCUUGUUCAUGAUAAUUGUCUAUUAUUCAUGCUAUAAUUGUGUUAUCCGGAAAUCGUAAUACAUGUGUGAAUACAUAGACCACAACAUGUCCCUAGUGAGCCUCUAGUUGACUAGCUCGUUGAUCAACAGAUGGUCAUGGUUUCCUGACUAUGGACAUUGGAUGUCAUUGAUAACGGGAUCACAUCAUUAGGAGAAUGAUGUGAUGGACAAGACCCAGCCCUAAGCAUAGCACAAAGAUCGUGUAGUUCGUUUGCUAGAGCUUUUCCAAAUGUCAAGUAUCAUUUCCUUAGACCAUGAGAUUGUGCAACUCCCGGAUACCAUAGGAGUGCUUUGGGUGUGCCAAACGUCACAACGUAACUGGGUGGCUAUAAAGGUGCACUACGGGUAUCUCCGAAAGUGUCUGUUGGGUUGGCAUGAAUCGAGACUGGGAUUUGUCACUCCGUAUGAUGGAGAGGUAUCUCUGGGCCCACUCGGUAAUGCAUCAUCAUAAUGAGCUCAAUGUGACCAAGUGUUUGGUCACGGGAUCAUGCAUUACGGUACGAGUAAAGUGACUUGUCGGUAACGAGAUUGAACAAGGUAUUGGGAUACCGACGAUCGAAUCUCGGGCAAGUAACGUACCGAUUGACAAAGGGAAUUGUAUACGGGAUUGAUUGAAUCCUCGACAUCGUGGUUCAUCCGAUGAAAUCAUCGUGGAACAUGUGGGAGCCAACAUGGGUAUCCAGAUCCCGCUGUUGGUUAUUGACCGUAGAGUCGUCUCGGUCAUGUCUGCAUGUCUCCCGAACCCGUAGGGUCUACACACUUAAGGUUCGGUGACGCUAGGGUUGUAGAGAUAUUAGUAUGCGGAAACCCGAAAGUUGUUCGGAGUCCCGUAUGAGAUCCCGGACGUCACGAGGAGUUACGGAAUGGUCCGGAGGUGAAGAAUUAUAUAUAGGAAGUCCAGUUUCGGCCACCGGGAAAGUUUCGGGGGUCACCGGUAUUGUACCGGGACCACCGGAAGGGUCCCGGGGGUCUACCGGGUGGGGCCACCUAUCCCGGAGGGCCCCAUGGGCUGAAGUGGGAAGGGAACCAGCCCCUGGUGGGCUGGUGCGCCCCCAUGGGCCUCCCCUUGCGCCUAGGGUUGGAAACCCUGGGGGUGGGGGGCGCCCCACCUGACUCGGGGGGCAAGUUUCCCCCCUUGGCCGCCCCCCCUGUAGAUGGGAUCUCCAGGGCCGGCGCCCCCCAGGGGCCCUAUAUAUAGAAGGGGGGAGGGAGGGCAGCAGUACCACAGCCCCUGGCGCCUCCCUCUCCCUCCCGUGACACAUCUCCCUCCUCCCGCAGCGCCUGGCGAAGCCCUGUCGGAAUCCCGCUACUUCCACCACCACGCCGUCGUGCUGCUGGAUCUCCAUCAACCUCUCCUUCCCCCUUGCUGGAUCAAGAAGGAGGAGACGUCGCUGCUCCGUACGUGUGUUGAACGCAGAGGUGCCGUCCGUUCGGCGCUCGGUCAUCGGUGAUUUGGAUCACGACGAGUACGACUCCAUCAACCCCGUUCACUUGAACGCUUCCGCUCGCGAUCUACGAGGGUAUGUAGAUGCACUCAUCUCUCUCGUUGCUAGAUGACUCCAUAGAUUGAUCUUGGUGAUGCGUAGAAAUUUUUUAAUUUCUGCUACGAUCCCCAACAGUGGCAUCAUGAGCUAGGUCUAUGCGUAGUUUCUAUGCACGAGUAGAACACAAACUUGUUGUGGGCGUAGAUGUUGUCAAUUUUUCUUGCCACUACUAGUCUUAUCUUGUUUCGGCGGCAUCGUGGGAUGAAGCGGCCCGGACCGACCUUACACGUACGCUUACGUGAGACAGGUUCCACCGACUGACAUGCACUAGUUGCAUAAGGUGGCUAGCGGGUGUCUGUCUCUCCCACUUUAGUCGGAACAGAUUUGAUGAAAAGGGUCCUUAUGAAGGGUAAAUAGAAAUUGGCAUAUCACGUUGUGGUUUUACGUAGGUAAGAAACGUUCUUGCUAGAAACCUAUAGAAGCCACGUAAAAACAUGCAACAACAAUUAGAGGACGUCUAACUUGUUUUUGCAGCAUAUGCUGUGUGAUGUGAUAUGGCCAAAAGGAUGUGAUGAAUGAUAUAUGUGAUGUAUGAGAUUGAUCAUGUUCUUGUAAUUGGAAUCACGACUUGCAUGUCGAUGAGUAUGACAACCGGCAGGAGCCAUAGGAGUUGUCUUUAUUUUUUGUAUGACCUGCGUGUCAUUGAAUAACGCCAUGUAAAUUACUUUACUUUAUUGCUAAACACGUUAGCCAUAGAAGUAGAAGUAAUCGUUGGUGUGACAACUUCAUGAAGACACGAUGAUGGAGAUCAUGAUGAUGGAGAUCAUGGUGUCAUGCCGGUGACGAAGAUGAUCAUGGCGCCCCGAAGAUGGAGAUCAAAGGAGCAAAAUGAUAUUGGCCAUAUCAUGUCACUAUUUGAUUGCAUGUGAUGUUUAUCAUGUUUUACAUCUUAUUUGCUUUGAAUGACUGUAGCUUAAAUAAGAUGAUCCCUCACUAAAAUUUCAAGAAAGUGUUCCCCCUAACUGUGCACCGUUGCGAAGGUUCGUUGUUUCGAAGCACCACGUGAUGAUCGGGUUUGAUAGAUUCUAACGUUCGAAUACAACGGGUGUAAGCCAGAUUUACACACGCAAUACACUUAGGUUGACUUGACGAGCCUAGCAUGUACAGACAUGGCCUUGGAACACGGAAGACCGAAAGGUCGAGCAUGAGUCGUAUAGAAGAUACGAUCAACAUGAAGAUGUUCACCGAUGUUGACUAGUCCGUCUCACGUGAUGAUCGGACACGGCCUAGUUGACUCGGAUCAUGUUUCACUUAGAUGACUAGAGGGAUGUCUAUCUGAGUGGGAGUUCAUUGAAUAAUUUGAUUAGAUGAACUUAAUUAUCAUGAACUUAGUCUAAAAUCUUUACAAUAUGUCUUGUAGAUCAAAUGGCCCACGCUAAUGUUGCCCUCAACUUCAACGCGUUCCUAGAGAAAACCAAACUGAAAGAUGAUGGCAGCAACUAUACGGACUGGGUCCGGAACCUGAGGAUCAUCCUCAUAGCUGCCAAGAAAGAUUAUGUCCUGGAAGCACCGCUAGGUGAUGUACCCAUCCCAGAGAACCAAGACGUUAUGAAUGCUUGGCAGUCACGUGCUGAUGAUUACUCCCUCGUUCAGUGCGGCAUGCUUUACAGCUUAGAACCGGGGCUCCAAAAGCGUUUUGAGCAACACGGAGCAUAUGAGAUGUUCGAAGAGCUGAAAAUGGUUUUCCAAGCUCACGCCCGGGUCGAGAGAUAUGAAGUCUCCGACAAGUUCUUCAGUUGUAAGAUGGAGGAAAAUAGUUCUGUCAGUGAGCACAUACUCAAAAUGUCUGGGUUACACAACCGCUUGACUCAGCUGGGAGUUAAUCUCUCGGAUGACGCGGUCAUUGACAGAAUCCUUCAGUCGCUUCCACCGAGCUACAAGAGCUUUGUGACGAACUUCAAUAUGCAGGGGAUGGAAAAGACCAUUCCUGAGGUAUAUUCAAUGCUGAAAUCAGUGGAGGUGGAGAUCAGAAAGGAACAUCAAGUGUUGAUGGUGAAUAAAACCACUAAGUUCAAGAAAGGCAAGGGUAAGAAGAACUUCAAGAAGGACGGCAAGGGAGUUGCCGCGCCCGGUAAGCCAGUUGCCGGGAAGAAGCCAAAGAAUGGACCCAAGCCUGAGACUGAGUGCUUUUAUUGCAAGGGAAGUGGUCACUGGAAGCGGAACUGCCCCAAAUACUUAGCGGACAAGAAGGCCGGCAAUACCAAAGGUAUAUGUGAUAUACUUGUAAUUGGUGUGUACCUUACCAGUACUCGUAGUAGCUCCUGGGUAUUUGAUACCGGUGCGUUUGCUCAUAUUUGUAACUCAAAGCAGGAGCUGCGGAAUAAGCGGAGACUGGCGAAGGACGAGGUGACGAUGCGCGUUGGGAAUGGUUCCAAGGUCGAUGUGAUCGCCGUCGGCACGCUACCUCUGCAUUUACCUACGGGAUUAGUUUUAAACCUCAAUAAUUGUUAUUUAGUGCCAGCUUUGAGCAUGAACAUUGUAUCUGGAUCUCGUUUAUUUCGAGAUGGCUACUCAUUUAAAUCCAAGAAUAAUGGUUGUUCUAUUUAUAUGAGAGAUAUGUUUUAUGGUCAUGCCCCGCUGGUCAAUGGUUUAUUCUUAAUGAAUCUCGAACGUGAUGUUACACAUAUUCAUAGUGUGAAUACCAAAAGAUGUAAAGUUGAUAACGAUAGUCCCACAUACUUGUGGCACUGCCGCCUUGGUCACAUUGGUGUCAAGCGCAUGAAGAAGCUCCAUGCUGAUGGACUUUUAGAGUCUCUUGAUUACGAAUCAUUUGACACGUGCGAACCAUGCCUCAUGGGUAAGAUGACCAAGACUCCGUUCUCCGGAACAAUGGAGCGAGCAACCAACUUAUUGGAAAUCAUACAUACUGAUGUGUGCGGUCCAAUGAGUGUUGAGGCUCGCGGUGGCUAUCGUUAUGUUCUCACUCUCACUGAUGACUUGAGUAGAUAUGGGUAUGUCUACCUAAUGAAACACAAGUCUGAGACCUUUGAAAAGUUCAAGGAAUUUCAGAGUGAGGUUGAGAAUCAACGUGACAGGAAAAUAAAGUUCUUACGAUCAGAUCGUGGAGGGGAAUAUUUGAGUCACGAAUUUGGCACACACUUAAGGAAAUGUGGAAUUGUUUCACAACUCAUGCCGCCUGGAACACCUCAGCGUAAUGGUGUGUCCGAACGUCGUAAUCGCACUCUAUUGGAUAUGGUGCGAUCUAUGAUGUCUCUUACCGAUCUACCGCUAUCAUUCUGGGGCUAUGCUUUAGAGACUGCCGCAUUCACUUUAAAUAGGGCUCCGUCGAAAUCCAUUGAGACGACACCGUAUGAAUUAUGGUUUGGGAAGAAACCUAAGCUGUCGUUUCUAAAAGUUUGGGGAUGCGAUGCUUAUGUCAAGAAACUUCAACCUGAAAAGCUCGAACCCAAGUCGGAAAAAUGCGUCUUCAUAGGAUACCCUAAGGAAACCAUUGGGUAUACCUUCUACCUCAGAUCCGAAGGCAAGAUCUUUGUUGCCAAGAACGGGUCCUUUCUGGAGAAAGAGUUUCUCUCGAAAGAAGUGAGUGGGAGGAAAGUGGAACUUGAUGAGGUGAUAGUCACCCCUUCCAAACCGGAAAGUAGCGCAGCGCGGGAAGAUGUUCCUGUGGUGCCUGCACCGACUGGGGAGGAAGUUAAUGAUGAUGAUCAUGAAGCUUCAGAUCAAGUUACUGCUGAACUUCGUAGGUCCACAAGGACACGUUCCGCACCAGAGUGGUACGGCAACCCUGUCAUGGAAAUCAUGUUGUUUGACAACGGUGAACCUUCGAACUAUGAAGAAGCGAUGGCGGGCCCGGAUUCCAACAAAUGGCUUGAAGCCAUGCAAUCCGAGAUAGGAUCCAUGUAUGAAAACAAAGUAUGGACUUUGACUGACUUGCCCGAUGAUCGGCGAGCCAUAGAAAAUAAAUGGAUCUUUAAGAAGAAGACAGACGCGGAUGGUAAUGUGACCAUCUAUAAGGCUCGACUUGUCGCUAAGGGUUAUCGACAAGUUCAAGGGGUUGACUACUAUGAGACUUUCUCACCCGUAGCGAAGCUGAAGUCCGUCCGAAUCAUGUUAGCAAUUGCCGCAUACUAUGAUUAUGAGAUAUGGCAAAUGGACGUCAAAACGGCAUUCCUUAACGGCUUCCUUAAGGAAGAAUUGUAUAUGAUGCAGCCGGAAGGUUUUGUCGAUCCUAAGAAUGCUGACAAAGUAUGCAAGCUCCAGCGCUCAAUCUAUGGGCUGGUGCAAGCAUCUCGGAGUUGGAACAUUCGAUUUGAUGAGAUGAUCAAAGCGUUUGGGUUUACACAGACUUAUGGAGAAGCCUGUGUUUACAAGAAAGUGAGUGGGAGCUCUGUAGCAUUUCUCAUAUUAUAUGUGGAUGACAUACUAUUGAUGGGAAAUGAUAUAGAAUUCUUGGAAAGCAUAAAGGCCUACUUGAACAAGUGUUUUUCAAUGAAGGACCUUGGAGAAGCGGCUUAUAUAUUAGGCAUCAAGAUCUAUAGAGAUAGAUCAAGACGCCUCAUUGGUCUUUCACAAAGUACGUACCUUGACAAGAUAUUGAAGAAGUUCAAUAUGGAUCAGUCCAAGAAGGGGUUCUUGCCUGUAUUGCAAGGUGUGCAUUUGAGCACGGCUCAAUGCCCGACCACGGCAGAAGAUAGAGAAAAGAUGAGUGUCAUCUCCUAUGCCUCGGCCAUAGGGUCUAUUAUGUAUGCCAUGCUGUGUACCAGACCUGAUGUAAACCUUGCCGUAAGUUUGGUAGGAAGGUACCAAAGUAAUCCCGGCAUGGAACACUGGACAGCGGUCAAGAAUAUCCUGAAGUACCUGAAGAGGACUAAGGAUAUGUUUCUCGUUUAUGGAGGUGAUGAAGAGCUCGUCGUAAAGGGUUACAUCGAUGCUAGCUUCGACACAGAUCUGGAUGACUCUAAGUCACAAACCGGAUACGUGUAUAUUUUGAAUGGUGGGGCAGUAAGCUGGUGCAGUUGCAAGCAAAGCGUUAUGGCGGGAUCUACAUGUGAAGCGGAGUACAUGGCGGCCUCAGAGGCAGCACAAGAAGCAAUCUGGAUAAAGGAGUUCAUUACCGACCUAGGGGUGAUUCCCAAUGCGUCGGGCCCGAUGACUCUCUUCUGUGACAACACUGGAGCUAUUGCCCUUGCCAAGGAGCCCAGGUUUCACAGGAAAACCAGGCAUAUCAAGCGUCGCUUCAACUCCAUUCGUGAAAGUGUUCAAAAUGGAGACAUAGAUAUUUGUAAAGUACAUACAGACCUGAAUGUAGCAGAUCCGUUGACUAAACCUCUCCCUAGAGCAAAACAUGAUCAGCACCAGAACUCUAUGGGUGUUCGAUUCAUCACAAUGUAACUAGAUUAUUGACUCUAGUGCAAGUGGGAGACUGUUGGAAAUAUGCCCUAGAGGCAAUAAUAAAAUGGUUAUUAUUAUAUUUCCUUGUUCAUGAUAAUUGUCUAUUAUUCAUGCUAUAAUUGUGUUAUCCGGAAAUCGUAAUACAUGUGUGAAUACAUAGACCACAACAUGUCCCUAGUGAGCCUCUAGUUGACUAGCUCGUUGAUCAAUAGAUGGUCAUGGUUUCCUGACUAUGGACAUUAGAUGUCAUUGAUAACGGGAUCACAUCAUUAGGAGAAUGAUGUGAUGGACAAGACCCAAUCCUAAGCAUAGCACAAAGAUCGUGUAGUUCGUUUGCUAGAGCUUUUCCAAAUGUCAAGUAUCAUUUCCUUAGACCAUGAGAUUGUGCAACUCCCGGAUACCGUAGGAGUGCUUUGGGUGUGCCAAACGUCACAACGUAACUGGGUGGCUAUAAAGGUGCACUACGGGUAUCUCCGAAAGUGUCUGUUGGGUUGGCAUGAAUCGAGACUGGGAUUUGUCACUCCGUAUGACGGAGAGGUAUCUCUGGGCCCACUCGGUAAUGCAUCAUCAUAAUGAGCUCAAUGUGACCAAGUGUUUGGGCACGGGAUCAUGCAUUACGGUAUGAGUAAAGUGACUUGUCGGUAACGAGAUUGAACAAGGUAUUGGGAUACCGACGAUCGAAUCUCGGGCAAGUAACGUACCGAUUGACAAAGGGAAUUGUAUACGGGAUUGAUUGAAUCCUCGACAUCGUGGUUCAUCCAAUGAGAUCAUCGUGGAACAUGUGGGAGCCAACAUGGGUAUCCAGAUCCCGCUAUUGGUUAUUGACCGGAGAGUCGUCUCGGCCAUGUCUGCAUGUCUCCCGAACCCGUAGGGUCUACACACUUAAGGUUCGGUGACGCUAGGGUUGUAGAGAUAUUAGUAUGCGGAAACCCGAAAGUUUUUCGGAGUCCCGGAUGAGAUCCCGGACGUCACGAGGAGUUCCGGAAUGGUCCGGAGGUGAAGAAUUAUAUAUAGGAAGUCUAGUUUCGGCCACCGGGAAAGUUUCGGGGGUCACCGGUAUUGUACCGGGACCACCGGAAGGGUCCCGGGGGUCCACCGGGUGGGGCCACCUAUCCCGGAGGGCCCCAUGGGCUGAAGUGGGAAGGGAACCAGCCCCUGGUGGGCUGGUGCGCCCCCCAUGGGCCUCCCCCUGCGCCUAGGGUUGGAAACCCUGGGGGUGGGGGCGCCCCACCUGACUUGGGGGGCAAGUUUCCCCCAUUGGCCGCCGCCCCCCUGUAGAUGGGAUCUCCAGGGCCGGCGACCCCCCAGGGGCCCUAUAUAUAGAAGGGGGGGAGGGAGGGCAGCAGUACCACAGCCCCUGGCGCCUCCCUCUCCCUCCCGUGACACAUCUCCCUCCUCCUGCAGCGCUUGGCAAAGCCCUGUCGGAAUCCCGCUACUUCCACCACCACGCCGUCGUGCUGCUGGAUCUCCAUCAACCUCUCCUUCCCCCUUGCUGGAUCAAGAAGGAGGAGACGUCGCUGCUCCGUACGUGUGUUGAACGCGGAGGUGCCGUCCGUUCGGCGCUCGGUCAUCGGUGAUUUGGAUCACGACGAGUACGACUCCAUCAACCCCGUUCACUUGAACGCUUCCGCUCGCGAUCUACAAGGGUAUGUAGAUGCACUCAUCUCUCUCGUUGCUAGAUGACUCCAUAGAUUGAUCUUGGUGAUGCGUAGAAUUUUUUUAAUUUCUGCUACGAUCCCCAACAGAAGGUGUACGACUACAUCAACCACGUUGAUAAAUGCUUCCGCUUAGCGAUCUUCAAGGGUAUGAAGAUGCUCUCCCCCUCUCGUAGCUAUACAUCUCCAUGGAUAGAUCUUGCGUGUGUGUAGAAAUUUUAGUUUUCAAUGCAACGUUCCCCAACACAAAUUUUCGGCAGCUCGAUGCAGCCGCACAAUCAAUACAAGUGUACAAAUUAAAUAUGUACCCCGUGAGCUGGCAGAAAGUACCCAACGAAUCUUGCAUCAUUCAUAGGUGUGAAGGUAUAUGCAUAUGUACUAUGUUCUGCUCGUUGACUCAUACGUCUCAAACUUACGUAGAGUUUUUGAUUGAUUCAUGCUAUUAUAAUACCAUCUAUAGCAAUUUAUAUUAUUUUUCCGAACUAAACUAUAAAUUCAAUGCCUAGAGCCAGUUACUCUUUUCUGCAUGUUUUUGGUUUGACAGAAAAACAUUCGGCAUGUGUUAAGCCGUCGAUUCGUAAAAUAGUAAAUAAAAAUUAAACCUUCGUCAUGUGGGCCAACUUAUAAGGUGAGCCCACAUCCUGGGAAGGUGGUAAAGUAGUUCCAACCGAAGAUACCAACGUUGUCCUCAUCAAAUCGGAAAAUACAAAUUUUCUAGUUUGACCCCUUUGAACUCGUAACAAAUUUGGUUUGAUUUCAUCUAGUUUUGUAUUAUUUUGCUUCAUUUCUUUCUAAGGCCCAUACACUACAUAUCUACUCAUCCAAACGUUGCUCAAUCGGCCCAAAAUAAAUUCCCCAAAAGCCCAAUCCACGCUGCAACAAAACACACCAUCGUUCCUCCUUUCUUCCGCCGCCGCCAGAGUUUCCUCUUCUAGUUAGGGUUUCCUCGAUCCCCAAUUUUCCCACCCCAACCCUAGCUCCGAUCCACCCGGUGGCGGCUGCAGAGGGCAAGAAGAAGAUCAUCAAGCUUAAGAGUUCGGACGGUAAGGAGUUUGAGGUGGAGCAAGCGGUGGCCAUGGAGUCGCAAAUGAUCCGGCACAUGAUCGAGGACGGCUAUACUGACAACGGCUUGUUGCUCCGCAAUGUCAACUCAAAGAUCCUCUCCAAGGUCAUUGAGUACUGCAACAAACACGUCCAAGCAAAGGCCACCGACAUAUCUGAUUUUGGAGGAGGAGCUAGGGUGUCAGAUGCUACAUCGGCUGUGCCUGCGGCGCUCGUGGAGGACCUAAAAACCUGGGAUGCAGAUUUCGUCAAGGUCGACAAGGACACCAUAUUCGACAUCAUGCUGGUGUGAUUACUUUCCGUCCUUCGAUUUGUUCCUUGACUUUCUCUAGAUCUAUUUUAUACUAUUCCCCAUGGUUGGAAUCAAGAUUGUUUUUGUUUUGUCUGGCUUGUUACUUGUGUCUGAUUGAGAUUUAGAUAGAUUGGAAUUUGUCCUCGUACCUUCAUCAAAGUAGAUUUGACUCGAUUGGAUUAGGUUAGGUUACACAAUGGAUUAUGUUUAGGUUAUAAAGAGUUGUUAUUGGCGAUGUAGAAAGUGGCCGACUAUACAGACUCACCCUAAUAGCUAGGUUCGGGCAUUAUCUGGGGAGCUAUAUUAAUUUACAGUUCCAUGUUCAUCUGGUCUAAUAUGCUUCACUAUAUAUGAAUAACAUAGAAACAUUUUAAAUUAUUAGAUUCACUAUCAUUGUGUUUGUAAAUUACAUAUAUGGGAUGAAGAGUGAGUCGUUUCUCUUUGAAUAACUUGCGGAAACAUCAGACCACGCAGAGCAAUAUAUGGUCUUUGUGAUUAUGCUACAUAUGUCACCGUUAUUUCUAUAUUUGAACCUUGCAUGAAUGUCCAUAUCUAGUGUAAAAUUAUGAUCUUGUAUGCUAGACUUUAGUAGUAUUUGCUCUGAAUUUGUUUUGUUAUAGUUAUAUUAGUUUAUCAUAGAUAGGGUGGUAUGUUGCAUGUGUCAUCCUUAGUUAUAAUACAUAAAUCCAAUAUCGCACAUUACUACUUUGGUAUUUGUAAUUAUGCUUUGUAGAUCACACACUUAUUUCUAAAUUUGCUAUCUUUGUCUUUAUUAUCUUAUAUAAUCUUAUAGAUUCCACUACUGGUCCAUAUGUCAACAAUGAAUGCCUUCUUCUAUCUAGCAUUGAUUUACUAUUUAUUUUACUGUAUACAUAGUGAUAGCUAAAUCACAUGAUCAUGCUAAUGUUUCUAACUUUGUAUCCAAUAUUUAUGAUCUCAACUAAUCUUUUAGAUACCACUAUUGAUCCAUGUCAUCUACGAAUGCCUUCUUCUAUCUAGCAUUGGUUGAGUAUUGAUUGUGGUUCUAUUAACAUUACAUCCUUGUAGCUAAAUCACCAGAUGAUACAUUAUGCAUGUCCAUGUGAGAAGUGAUGAUGCUUUCCAUCAUUUGAAGUGAAACCAUGCAUGACUUCCCAUUGCCACUAUAAAAUCCUGAUCUUGUUUGCAAGAGUUUAGCGCUAUUUACUUUGAAUUUCUUUUCUUAUGGUUAUCUUAUUUUAUCAUAUAUAAGAUUUAUAUCUCACAUGUGUCAUCUUCACUUGCAGUAUAUAUUCCAAUUUCAUAUAUUACUAACCCCUAAAUACAAGUUUUGUGUUGUGGUUUGAUUUUGCUAUGAUGGAUAACUAUGUUUCUAACUUUAUUGUUAUCGCUGCCUUUAUCAUCUGAGCUAAUCUUUUAGAUGCCACUAUAUUGAUCCAUAUUGACUAUGAAUGUGUUCAUCUGCGUAUCAUUGCUUGACUGAUGAUUGUGGUGUACUAGCCAUACAUGUUGAUAUCCAAAUUACCGGAUGAUGAAUGCAAUUGCCAAUGCAUUUUGAGACGUGGUGCUUGUUAUCUGAACCCAUGUAGCUUAUGCACUUACAAAAUUAUCAUUUAUCAUGCAGGAAUGUAUGUAGCUGUGUAUGACCUCACUCUAUUUUGUUACAGUUAUUUUAACUUUUCUUGACUAUCGAUCCAAUUAUGUUAACCCAUGUUAUGGUCUUUGAAUCAAUGUCUUUUGAUUAAUGCAUGCCUUGUUUUGUGUUCUAGUUUGUCGCAAGAACAUCUAUGUAGGUGGUAUAUGUAAUUAACCAUGUUUUUAGAAACCGAUGCUUCCAUCUGACACACCAUUAUUCCUUUUGCACUUUUGCCCCCUCUCAGGCUGCAAACCACCUCAACAUCAAGGGGCUCCUAGACCUGACUUGCCAGGCCGUCGCUGACAUGAUGACGGGAAAGACGCCAGAGGAGAUCCGCAAGAUCUUCAACAUCAAUGAGAAAUUAAAACCUGAGGAGGAGGAGGAGAUCCGCAGGGAGAACUAGUGGGCCUUUGAGUAGAGGAACAUCUAGGCCGCGCUGAAGUAAUGAACGCUUAGUAUUACCAAUGUCUACAUUUUAGUGUGCUUGUUUAUGUCAUAAUGGGUUGUAAGGAACCAAGAAUCUAUAAGGUGGUGUUGGUGAACUUAUUCAGUGGUUAUGUUUGCAAAAAAAUGGUGGUCAUAAUUAUCAUUUGUCAAAUGAAUCGUUAUUGUCAAGUGGAUGUUUUGCUUGCUUAUCAUCAUUGUUUCACUGAUUUCCACCAUGUGAUUUGGGCUUCUUCGUUGGUUAUUCAGGUGUGUUUUGUUCAUCGAUCAAGAUGGAUGCUCUUGUUACUUAAGAGACGGUCCAUGUUCUUCCCCUCUCUCUCUACAAUUCUAAUAAAAAUAAAAAUAAAAAUUGUUCCUUAAAUUAUUUGAGGGAUCAAACUAAUUUCAAAAGACCUGAAAUUUUUAGGGUAGCCACUUACGACCAUGACAAGGCCACACUAAAACAUAUAGGGUUUUAGAAUUAUAUUUAUAAUUUGUUUACAAAAAAUCCAUUUAAAUGAAUAAACGGGUGAUGUGUGGAUUUUUCAUCACUCUUUAAAGUUUACGCUAGUAUAAGAAUCCCUCAUAUAAUUCCAUUUAGCAAUUUUUCAUGUUCACAAUGCAUGAUUAUUGACAUGUCGCGAAAGGUUUUCGACAUGUUCAAUGGCUUGACUACGAUGAGACUUUCUCACCCGUAGCGAGUCUUAAGUCUAUCCGAAUCAUGUUACCAAUUGCCGCAUUUUAUGAUUUUGAAAUCUGGCAAAUGGAUGCCAAAACUGCAUUCCUUAACAGGUUUCUUGAAGAAGAGUUGUAUAUGGUGCAACCAGAAGGUUUUGUCGAUCCUAAAGGUGCUAACAAAGUGUUGAAGCUCCAGCGAUCCAUCUAUGGACUGGUGCAAGCAUCUCGGAGUUGGAAUAUACGCUUUGAUGAUGUGAUAAAAGCAUAUGGUUUUAUACAGACUGAUGGUGAAGCCUGUAUUUAUAAGAAAGUGUGUGGGAGCUCUAUAGCAUUUCUGAUAUUAUGUGUGGAUGACAUAUUGUUGAUUGAAAAUGAUAUAGAAUUUCUGGAUAGCAUAAAAGGAUACUUGAAUAAGAAUUUUCCAAUGAAAGACCUCUGUGAAGCUGCUUAUAUAUUGGGCAUCAAGAUCUAUAGGGAUAGAUCGAGACGCUUAAUAUUACUUUCACAAAGCACAUACCUUGACAAAGUUCUGAAGAAGUUCAAAAUGGACCAGUCAAAGAAAGGGUUCUUGCCUGUGUUGCAAGGUGUUAAAUUGAGUCAGACUCAAAGUUCGACCACGACAGAAGAUAGAGAGAAAAUGAAAGUCAUUCCCUAUGCCUCAACCAUAGGUUCUAUUAUGUAUGCCUUGCUGUGUACCAGACCUGAUGUGUGCCUUGCCAUAAGUUUGGCAGGGAGGUACCAAAGUAAUCCAGGAGUGGAUCACUAGACAACGGUCAAGAACAUCCUGCAGAAGUACCUGAAAAGGACCCAUGGUAUGUUUCUCGUUUAUGGAGGUGACGAAGAGCUCGUCGUAAAAGGUUACAUCGAUGCUAGCUUCAACACAGAUCCAGAUGACUCUAAGUCACAAACCAGAUAAGUAUUUAUAUUGAAUGGUGGAGCUGUCAGUUGGUGCACUUCCAAGCAGAGCAUCGUGGCGGGAACUACGUGUGAAGUGGAGUACAUAGCUGCUUUGGAAGCAGCGCAUGAAGGAGUUUGGAUGUAGGAGUUCAUACCCGAUCUGGAUGUAAUACCCUGUGCAUCGGGUCCAAUGACAAUCUUUUGUGACAACACUGGAGCACUUGCAUUAGCGAAGGAAUCCAGGUUUCACAAGAGAACCAAACACAUCAAGGGACUCUUCAACUCUAUUCGUGAAAAUGUCAAGGAUGGAGACAUAGAAAUUUGCAAAGCACAUACGAAUCUGAAUGUGGCAGAUCCGUUGACUAAACCUCUUCCGCGGGCAAAACAUGAUCAACACCAAGACUCCAUGUGUGUUAGAUUCAUUACACUGCAAUCUAGAUUAUUGACUCUAGUGAAAGUGGGAGACUGACGGGAAAUAUGCCCUAGAGGCAAUAAUAAAGUUUUUAUUGUUAUAUUUCCUUGUUCAUGAUAAAGGUUUAUUAUUCAUGCUAGAAUUGUAUUGAUCAGAAACUUAAAUACAUGUGUGGAUACAUAAACAAAUACCGUGUCCCUAGUAAGCCUCUACUAGACUAGCUCGUUGAUCAAAGAUGUUCAAGGUUUCCUAACCAUGGACAUGUGUUGUCAUUUGAUAACGGGAUCACAUCAUUAGGAGAAUGAUGUGAUGGACAAGACCAAUCCGUUAGCUUGGCAUAUGAUCGUUCAGUUUAUUGAUAUCGGAGGAAUACCUUGUGUGCUAUCAAACGUCACAACAUAACUGGCUGAUCAUAAAGAUGCUCUACAGGUAUCUCCAAAGGUGUCUGUUGAGUUGGCAUGGAUCAAGAUUGGGAUUUGUCACUUCAUAUGACGGAGAGGUAUCUCUGGGCCCUCUCGGUAAUACAACAUUACAAUAAGCUUGCAAGCAAAGUGACUAAGGAGUUAGUUAUAGGAUGAUGUAUUACGGAACGAGUAAAGAGACUUGUCGGUAACGAGAUUGAACUAGGUAUGGAAAUACUGACGAUCGAAUCUCGGGCAAGUAACAUACCGAUAGACAAAGGGAACUACAUGUGUUGUCAUAAAGGUUCGACCGGCAAAGAUCUUCGUAGAAUAUAAAGGAACCAAUAUGGGCAUCCAGGUCCCGCUAUUGGCUAUUGACCGGAGAAGCGUCUCGGUCAUGUCUACAUCAUUCUCGAACCCGUAGGGUGCUACCUCUUGAGCUCGCGUUGGUUUUUCCCUUGAAGAGGAAAGGGUGAUGCAACAAAGUAGAGUAAGUAUUUCCCUCAGUUUGAGAACCAAGGUAUCAAUCCAGUAGGAGACAACACACAAGUCACCGGAUACUUGCACAAACAAUCAAACAACUUGCACCCAACGCGAUAAAGGGGUUGUCAAUCCCUUCACGGUUAGUUGCAAAAGUGAGAUCUAAUAGAGAUAGAUAAACAGUAAAGUAAAUAUAUUUGGUAUUUUUGUUUUAUAGAUUGGAAAGUAAAAGAUCGCAAAGGAAGUAAAUCGGAAACUAAAAUUAUAGAUCGGAAACUUAUAUGAUGGAAAAUAGACCCUGGGGCCAUAGGUUUCACUAGAGGCUUCUCUCAAGAUAGAAAAUAAUAAGGUUUGUGAACAAAUUACUGCCGAGCAAUUGAUUGAAAAGCGCAAAGUUAUGACGAUAUCUAAGGCAAUGAUCAUGAAUAUAGGCAUCACGUCCGUGUCAAGUAGACCGAAACGAUUCUGCAUCUACUACUAUUACUCCACACAUCGACCGCUAUCCAGCAUGCAUCUAGAGUAUUAAGUUCAUAAAGAACAGAGUAACGCAUUAAGCAAGAUGACAUGAUGUAGAGGAAUUAACUCAAGCAAUAUGAUGAAAACCCCAUCUUUUUAUCCUCGAUGGCAACAAUAUAAUACGUGCCUUGCUGCCCUAUUGUCACUUUGAAAGAACACCGCAAGAUUGAACCCAAAGCUAAGCACUUCUCCCAUUGCAAGAAAAACCAAUCUAGUUGGCCAAACCAAAUCGAUAGUUCGAAGAGAAUUACAAAGAUAUGAAAUCAUGCACAAAAGAAUUUAGGGAAGAUUCAAAUAAUAUUCAUAGAUAAGCUGAUCAUAAAUCCACAAUUCAUCGGAUCUCGGCAAACACACCGCAAAAAAGUAUUACAUCAAAUAGAUCUCCAAGAACAUUGAGGAGAACAUGGUGUUGAGAAUCAAAGAGAGAAGAAGAAGCCAUCUAGCUACUAGCUAUGGACCCGUAGGUCUGAGGCAAACUACUCACGCUUCAUCGGAAGGGCAAUGGUGUUGAUGUAGAAGCCCUCCGUGAUCGAAUCCCCCUCCGGCAGGACGCCGGAAAAGGCCCCUAGAUGGGAUCUCACGGUUACAAAAGGUUGCGGCGGUGGAAAAGUGUUUUCGUUGCUCUCUCUAUUGGUUUUGGGAUAUAUGAGAAUAUAUAGGCGAAGAAACUAGGUCGAUGGAGUCACGAGGGGCCCACAAGGGUGGGGGGCGCGCCCUCCGUCCUUGUGGCCGCCUCAUGGCUUCUCUAACUUGCACUCCAACUCCUCUGGAUGACUUCUGGUCCAAGAAAAAUCAUCGUGAAAGUUUUAUUCCGUUUGGACUCCGUUUGGUAUUCCUUUUCUGCGAAACUCUAAAACAAGGAAAAAAACAGGAACUGGCACUGGGCUCUAGGUUAAUAGGUUAGUCCAAAAAAUAAUAUAAAAUAGCAUAUUAAUGCAUAUAAAACAUCCAAAAUAGAUAAUAUAAUAGCAUGGAACGAUAAAAAAUUAUAGAUACGUUGGAGACGUAUCAUAGGGUCCGCACGCUUAACGUUCGUUGAUGAUAUAAUAUUAUAUGAGUUAUGUAUGUUGGUGACCGAAUGUUGUUCCGAGUCCCGGAUGAGAUCACGGACAUGACCAGGAGUUCCAGAAUGGUUCGGAGGUAAAGAUUGAUAUAUAGGAUGAUAUGGUUAGGCCAGGGAGUAAGGCCCACGGGGCUUUAGGUCACUGCAAAAGGAAGUUUUGCGGAGGUCAGGGACCACACGCCAGGGAUCCUGGCAUCUGGCCCUAGGCCAGAUACCGAAGCCCAUGGCGUCUGGGCCAGAUGCCGAGAACUAUGGCGUCUGGUCCUGGAGUCCGAGAAGGAAUCUUGCCUUGCGGGCAAAACAAACUUUGAGGAGGCUCUUUCUCCAAGAAACAACCUCAGGGCUCAACAUAUAAAUAGAGGGGCAGGGCUGACACCCGAAACACAUCAAGACUCACCAAGCCGUGUGCCGGCAACCCCGCCCCCUCUAGUUUAUCCUCCAUUAUAAUUUCCAUUGUGCUUGGCGAAGCCCUGCGAAGAUUGUUCUUCACCACCACCGUCACCACACCGCCGUGCUACGGGAACUCAUCUACUACUUCGCUCCUCUUGCUGGAUCAAGAAGGUGAGGACGUUAUCGAGCUAAACGUGUGUUGAACGCGGAGGUGCCGUACGUUCGGUACUUGAUCGGGACAGAUCGUGAAGGUGUACGACUACAUCAACCGCGUUGAUAAAUGCUUCCGCUUAGCGAUAUUCAAGGGUAUGAAGAUGCUCUCCCUCUCUCGUAGCUAUACAUCUUCAUGGAUAGAUCUCGUGUGUGUAGAAUUUUUUUUGUUCUCCAUGCAACUUUCCCUAACACAAAUUUUCCGCGGCUCGAUCCAGCCGCAAAAACAAUAUAAGUGUACAAAUUAAAUAUGUACCCCGUGAGCUGGCAGAAAGUACCGAACGAAUCUUGCAUCAUUCAUAGGGGUGAAGGUAUAUGCAUAUGUACUAUGUUCUGCUCGGUGACUCAUACGUCUCAAACUGACCUACAAUUUUUGAUUGAUUCAUGCUAUUUUAAUACCAUCUAUAGCAAUUUAUAUUAUUUUUCUGAACUAAACUGUAAAUUCAAUGCCUAGAGCCAAUUACUCUUUUCUGCAUGUUUUUGGUUUGACAGAAAAACAUUCGGCAUGUGUUAAGCCCGUCGAUUCGCAAAACAAUAAAUAAAAAUGAAACCUUCGUCACGUGGGCCAACUUAUAAGGUGAGCCCACAUCUUGGGAAGGUGGUAAAGUAGUUCCAUCCGAAGAUACCAACGUUGUCCUCAUCAAAUCGGAAAAUAGAAAUUUUCUAGUUUGACCCCUUUGAACUCGUAACAAAUUUGGUUUGAUUUCAUCUGGUUUUGUAUUAUUUGGCUUCAUUUUUUCUAAGGCCCGUACCCUACUUAUCUACCCAUCCAAACGUUGCUCAAUUGGCCCAAAAUAAAUUCCCCAAAAGCCCAAUCCACCCUGCAAUAAAACACCCCAUCUUUCCCCCUUUCUUCCGCCGCCGCGAGAGUUUCCUCUUGUAGUUAGGGCUUCCCUGAUCCCCAAUUUUCCCACCCCAACCCUAGCUCCGAUCCACCCGAUGGCGGCUGCAGAGGGCAAGAAGAAGAUCAUCAAGCUCAAGAGUUCGGACGGUAAGGAGUUUGAGGUGGAGCAGGUAGUGGCCAUGGAGUCGCAAAUGAUCCGGCACAUGAUCGAGGAUGACUAUACUGACAACGGCUUGUUGCUCCGCAAUGUCAACUCAAAGAUCCUCUCCAAGGUCAUUGAGUACUACAACAAACACGUCCAAGCAAAGGCCACCAACACAUCUGAUUUUGGAGGAGGAGCUAGGGCGUCAGAUGCUACAUCGGCUGUGCCUGCGGCGCUCGCGGAGGACCUCAAAAACUGGGACGCCAAUUUCAUCAAGGUCGAUAAGGACACCAUAUUCGACCUCAUGCUGGUGUGAUUACUUUCCGUUCUUCGAUUUGUUCCUUGACUUUCUCUAGAUCUAUUUUUUACUAUUCCCCAUGGUUGGAAUCAAGAUUGUUUUUGUUUGUGUGGCUUGUUACUUGUGUCUGAUUGAGAUUUAGAUAGAUUGGAAUCUGUCCUUGUACCUUCAUCAAGGUAGAUUUGACUCGGUUGGAUUAGGUUAGGUACACAAUGGAUUAUGUUUAGGUUAUAAAGAGUUGUCAUUGGCAAUGUAGAAAGCGGUCGACCAUACAUACUCACCCUAAUAGCUAGGUUCGGGCAUUAUCUGGGGAGCUAUAUUAAUUUACAGUUCCAUGUUCAUCUGGUCUAAUAUGCUUCACUAUAUAUGAAUAACAUAUAAACAUUUUAAAUUAUUAGAUUCACUAUCAUUGUGUUUGUAAAUUACAUAUAUGGGAUGAAGAGCGAGUGGUUUCUCUUUGAUAACUUGCGGAAACAUCAGACUACGCAGAGCAAUAUAUGGUCUUUGUGAUUAUGCUACAUAUGUCACUGUUGUUUCUAUAUUUGAACCUUGCAUGAAUGUCCAUAUGUAGUGUAAAAUUAUGAUCUUGUAUGCUAGACUUUAUUUGUAUCUGCUCUGAAUUUUUUUUGUUAUAGUUAUGUUGGUUUAUCAUAGAUAGGGUGGUAUGUUGCACGUGUCAUCCUUAGUUAUAAUACAUAAAUCCAAUAUCGUACAUUACUACUUUGGUAUUUGUAAUUAUGCUUUGUAGAUCACACACUUAUUUCUAAAUUUGCUAUCUAUGUCUUUAUUACCUUAUAUAAUCUUAUAGAUUCCAUAAUUGGUCCAUAUGUCAACAAUGAAUGCCUUCUUCUAUCUAGCAUCGGUUUACUAUUUUUUUGCUAUAUACAUAGUGAUAGCUAAAUCACAUGAUCAUGCUAAUGUUUCUAACUUUUUAUCCAAUAUUUACGAUCUCAACUAGUCUUUUAGAUACCACUACUGAUCCAUGUCAUAUACAGAUGCCUUCUUCUAUCUAGCAUUGGUUGAGUAUUGAUUGUGGUUCUAUUAACAUUACAUCCUUGUAGCUAAAUCACCAGAUGAUACAUUAUAUAUGCAUGUCCAUGUGAGAAGUGAUGAUGCUUUCCAUCAUUUGAAGUGAAACCAUGCAUGACUUCCCAUGGCGACUAUAAAAUCCUGAUCUUGUUUGCAAGAGUUUAGCACUAUUUACUUUGAAUUUCUUUUCUUAUAGUUAUCUUAUUUUUAUCAUAGAUAAGAUUUAUAUCUCACAUGUGUCAUCUUCACUAGCAAUACAUAUUCCAAUUUCAUAUAUUACUGAGCCCUAAACACAAGUUUUGUGUUGUGGUUUGAUUUUGCUAUGAUAGAUAACUAUGUUUCUAACUUUAUUGUUAUCGUUGCCUUUAUCAUCUGAGCUAAUCUUUUAGAUGCCACUGUAUUGAUCCAUAUUGACUAUGAAUGUGUUCGUCUGCGUAUCAUUGCUUGACUGAUGAUUGUGGUGUACUAGCCAUACAUGUUGAUGUCCAAAUUACCGGAUGAUGAAUGCAAUUGCCAAUGCAUUUUGAGAAGUGGCACUUGUCAUCUAAACCCAUGUAGCUUAUGCACUUACAAAAUUAUCAUUUAUCAUGCAGGAAUGUAUGUAGCUGUGUAUGACCUCACUCUAUUUUGUUACAGUUAUGUUAACUUUUCUUGACUAUCGAUCCAAUUAUGUUAACCCAUGUUAUGGUCUUUGAAUCAAUGUCUUUUGAUUAAUGCAUGUCUUGGUUUGUGUUUUAGUUUGUCGCCAAAACAUCUAUGUAGGUGGUAUAUGUAAUUAACCAUGUUUUCGUAAACCCAUGCUUCCCUCUGACACACCAUUAUUCCUUUUGCACUUUUGCCCCCUCUCAGGCUGCAAACCACCUCAACAUCAAGGGGCUCCUAGACCUGACUUGCCAGACCGUCGCUGACAUGAUGACGGGAAAGACGCCAGAGGAGAUCCGCAAGAUCUUCAACAUCAAUGAGAAAUUAAAACCUGAGGAGGAGGAGGAGAUCCGCAGGGAGAACUAGUGGGCCUUUGAGUAGAGGAACAUCUAGGCCGCGCUGAAGUAAUGAACGCUUAGUAUUACCAAUGUCUACAUUUUAGUGUGCUUGUUUAUGUCAUAAUGGGUUGUAAGGAACCAAGAAUCUAUAAGGUGGUGUUGGUGAACUUAUUCAGUGGUUAUGUUUGCAAAAAAUGGUGGUCAUAAUUAUCAUUUGUCAAAUGAAUCGUUAUUGUCAAGUGGAUGUUUUGCUUGCUUAUCAUCAUUGUUUCACUGAUUUCCACCAUGUGAUUUGGGCUUCUUCGUUGGUUAUUCAUGUGUGUUUUGUUCAUCGAUCAAGAUGGAUGCUCUUGUUACUUAAGAGACGGUCCAUGUUCUUCCCCCCUCUCUCUACAAUUCUAAUAAAAAUAAAAAUAAAAAUUGUUGCUUAAAUUAUUUGAGGGAUCAAACUAAUUUCAAAAGACCUGAAAUUUUUAUGGUAGCCACUUACGACCAUGGCAAGGCCACCCUGAAACAUAUAGGGUUUUAGAAUUAUAUUUAUAAUUUGUUUACAAAAAAUCCAUUUAAAUGAAUAAACGGGUGAUGUGUGGAUUUUUCCAUCACCCUUUAAAGUUUACGCUAGUAUAAGAAUCCCUCAUAUAAUUCCAUCUAGCAAUUUUUCAUGCUCACAAUGCAUGAUUAUUGAUAUUUAUGCAUUUUACGGAGUUCAUUGCAUAGCUUUUAGCCUUGAUUAGUUUUUUUAGUUUUCCUUUGUUUUAUUGUGUUUGUAGGUGUAAUGGAGUUCCAUGGACUUAGCAAAUUAAAAGGGACCAAGUUUGGGCCAAACCUAGGAGGUCUCCGAUAUAGUUGAUAUUAUUUGUCUGGUCUCCGAACUGGCUAGUGAGGGUACCUUUCAAAUUUCAUGAGAAACAUAGUCCGUUUGCUAUCCAAACGUCCAAAUAUUGUGGCACUAGUAGCCGGUUAAAAUAAUUAAACGUUUGCAAAUAAAAUUUAUUGUUGGGUGAUACGUCUGCAACAUAUCUAUAAUUUUUGAUUGUUCCAUGCUGUUAUAUUAUCAUUCUUCGAUGUUUUAGAUUCAUUUUAUAGCAACUUUAUAUCAUUUUUUGGGACUAACCUAUUGACAUAGUGCUGAGUGCCAGUUGCUGUUUUUUGCUUCUUUUUUACUUUGCAGAAUAUCAGUACCAAACAGAGUCGAAAUGCCACGAAACUUUUUGGAGAUUUUUUUGGGAUCAGAAGACAACUUGGGAGCCAAGGAAGCACCAGAGGGGAGGCCCAUGGGACCCACAACCCACCAGGGCGCGCCAGAGGACCCCUGGCGCGCCCAAGUGGGUGGUGGGGACCAUGGGAGUCCUUUCCACUGCCUCUCAGCUCUAUAAAUUCCCAAUAUUUCAGAAACCCUAGGGGAGUCGACAAAGCACAAUUCCAGCCACCGCAAGUUCCAGAACCACGAGAUCCAAUCUAGAGCCCUAUUCCGGCACUCUGCCGGAGGGGAACACGAUCACAGAUGGGUUCAUCAUCAUCAUUGGUGCUCCUCCGAUGAUGCGUGAGUAAUGCACCAUAGACCUACGGGUCUGUAGGCAGUGGCUUCUUCUCUCUUUUUGAUUCUUAAUACAAUGUUCUCCUCGAUGUUCUUGGAUAUCUAUUUGAUGUAAUGACUUUUUGUGGUGUGUUUGUUGGGAUCCAGUGAAGUGCGAGUUUAUGAACAGAUCUAUCUAUGAAUAUUAUUUGAAUUUUCUUUGAUAUCUUAUAUGCAUGACUGUUAUAGCCUCAUAUUUCUUCUCCGAAUCUUUGGUUUAGCUAGGCCAACUACAUUGUUUUUUCUUGAAAUGGGAAGAGGUGCUUUGUGGUGGGUUUGAUCUUGCGGUGUCCUCACAAAAUGACAGAAGGGGUAGCGAGCGCGCAUGUAUCAUUGCUAUUAAGGAUAAAAAUAUGGGGUCUAUUCCUACAUGAAUAGAUCUUGUCUACAUCAUGUCAUCGUUCUUAUUGCAUUACUCCGUUUCUCCAUGAACUUAAUACACUAGAUGCAUGCUGGAUAGCGGUCGAUGUGUGGAGGAAUAGUAGUAGAUGCAGGCAGGAGUCGGUCUUCUAAUCUUGGACGUGAUGCCUAUAUACAUGAUCAUUGCCUUGGAUGUUGUCAUAAUUAUUUGCUUUUCUAUCAAUUGCCCAACUGUAAUCUGUUUACCCACUGUAUGAUAUUUUCUCGAGAGAAGCCACUAGUGAAAUCUACGACCCCCGUGUCUAUCUUUAAUCAUAUUGUUUUCAGUUCUCUUAUUCCAAAAACCCAAAAAUACCUUGCUCCACUUUUUCUUUACUUAUUUUAUUUUGUGUUUUAGUCAGAUAUAUUUAUCCAAUCUCAUACAAUUUAAUCUAUCUUUUUAACGUAGAGGGAUUGACAACCCCUCAUAUGCGUUGGGUUGCAAGUAUUUGUUCUUUGUGUGCAGGUACCGUCUACAUAGUGUUGCUUGGUUCUCCUAGUGGAUUGAUAACCUUGGUUUCAUAACUGAGGAAAAUACUUGCCAUAGCUGUGCUGCAUCAUCCCUUCCUCUUUGGGGAAUUACCAACACAGAUUCAAGCUACCGUCAAAGAAUUUCUAGCGCCGUUGCCGGGGAGACAUCAUCAACAUCUAUCAGGUUCCUAAUGACAAAUCUCAUCUCCUUGCAAUUUACAUUAUUUGCCAUUUGCCUCUCGUUUUCAUCUCCCCCACUUGUAAAACGUUUUUGCGAAAACCACACAAAUAUUUGCCUUCUUUUUCGUUUGCCUUUUUUUGUUAGAUCUCUUGUUUGCUUGUGUUUCCAUGUGUUUUCGUCAACGUCUAGUGAGCAUUGUAGUUUUGUGAGAAUAAAUUUUCUCUCAUUCUUUUGGCGGUGCCAUGAGGUUAGAGAGUUUUCUGUCCUCGUAGUUCUGAUUAUUCGGAUUUGAUGAAUUUAUGUUGUUGUGUCAAGCUUUUUUUUUGCUUUGAUUCUUUGUGGUGGUGAAAUCUUUCUUCGACACCAUGGUGAAGAUAGGGUGAUUCUACUGCCAGUACUUCUAGGGGAUCAUUCCUAGCUCAAAUACGUUCAUCGAUCAAGGCUUCCCAUCUUUUUAGAUGGGCGACUGAAGGCGCUUUAGAAAACCAUUAUUGGUAAUGUUCGUGUGGGUGAAAGAGUGACAACAUCAUUGCUCCAGUCUAAUUGCAGCCUCUUUAUCGAAGUCUUUGGAGUAUUUCUUCGAGCAGAGAUUGAUAUCGCGAGAAAGGUGUUUACAAAAAAAAUCACAUCUACACACCUGCAUAUAGCUUUAAGAUUCACACUUAACCUCCUCGUCUGAUUUGGGCCGUUGGUAGACCGAAUCUUUCCCUGCUUCAGGAAUCGACAGUGCAGCUUCAGAUUUCAUGCGUCGCUGUUAUUUACACAUCUCCAUCCCUCCCGGUCGUUCAAGUUUCUUUCUUGAUCAAUAAGCCUUCCUUUCUGAAACAUGAUGUGAAGUUUUUUCUUUUCUUUCUGGUGAAUAACAAAAAUCAUGCCUCCCAUGCCGGCCAUGCCGCCCGGAGGUGCUCCGAAGCCACUCAUGCCUCCCUUGGUCUUCAUGGUAGCUCCAAAGCCACCCAUGGCACCCAUGCCGCCCAUGGUAGCUCCGAAGCCACCCAUGGCGCGAAUUAUGGCUUUUUUUGGAUCAAGACUUUUUCACGGGCAAGAUUGACAUACUCCUUUUGCGCCUCAUUGAGGAUUGAUGUGUCCAAAAAGAAAAAGUGCUUCUCCCAAUCUAGAUCGUGGGCGUCUAUCGGGUCAAAUCGCCGGCAGCGGCGCGUGCGGGGCAAAGGUGGAGCGGCGGAGAGAGUGCAACGCGAGCACUCGAGUGUGCCGCCCGCGGAAGCGGGCGCACCAAAUACACAGCGCGCGGUGGCGAUUCGGACCGUGCGCCCAACUCUAUAUGCCGCGCGCGCGCUUAUUGCGCGUCCGCUGGAGCCCCUCUAUCGAUUGCGCGCGCACUAAAAAGGGCAAAUUUGCGGCGCGGCGCUUAUUUAGCGCGGCUGUUGGAGAUGCUCUUACGCAUCUCCAUCCCUCUCGGUAGUUCAAGUUUCUUUCUUGAUCAAUAAGCCUUUCUUCCUGAAACAUGAUGUGAAGUUUUUUGUUUUCGUUCUCGUGAAUAAAGAAACAUACUAGUAUAAGCUCGGGAUAGGGUUUGAACGAUCCGUACUCGUCACCACAUAUAGAAGGCGUCGACGGUCUGGCGGCUGCAUCAAACGAAACAAAUCGAGGAGAGAUCCGAUCCGAUCGGGAUCGGCCAUGGCGACGUCCAUGCGGCGAUCUGCCGUUGCUACCCUCGCGCUCCGGCGAUCGGCAAGCUAGCCCGAGGCUUCCGGCUCGCAUCCCUUUGAGCCCUGCGUCGGCUGUAUCCUUCAGCAGCAACACCGCCUCUUCCGGCAAGAGUGAGGACGCCGGCGGCCGGGUACGUAACAUGCAUCCGAAAUGAUUAGCUGCAUGCAUGCAUGGUCGCGCUGUCGAUCGAUUUCGAUCUGGCCUUGCGAAGGAGGUAGUUGUGAUAGUUUUGAUAUGCCCUCUCAUGUUUAUAUUUAUGGGGUAUAUAAGUAGAUCUUAUGCACAUUUUACUUUUGCGGGGACUAAUCUUCUGUAGCUUGAUUAACUGCAUACAUAUUGGCAGCAUCAAAAUUAAUUGGUACAUGCAGUCUGAGAAGCGUCGUACCGAUAAGAACGGCGACAAGUCACCUGGAGCACGGAGGCGACGCAAACAAAAAGGGUUAGCAAACUUAUUAAUUAAGCUCCUAUGUCUAAGCUCGUUAAGCAAGUAAAAAUCGUGCCGGCAUCUUGUUUUGUUAAUUUAUUUGCUUCGUCGCGCGUGCCUUUCUCAGACAUGGCAUCUCCCGAAGCCUGCUUGAUGAGUUUGAUGAUUCUGACUGGGAGAUGGCGGCGCUUUUGGACGAUGACAAGCCUCCCCGAGGAUCUUCCACUGGACCAGACUCUACUAAGGACUCCUCCUCCUCCUCUGCGGCGGCAGAGUCGGACGUGUCCCCGCCGUCGUCAGGGGGCUUCUGGGACUGGGGAAGCUCUUCGUCGUCGGGCUCGGGUGGAGGGGACUCGUGGUCCGGAGGAGGGGGAUUCUCGGGAGACUAGCUACCUGCUAGAUACUCCUGUGAUUCUUAGCAAGUUUUUCCCAGUUUAAUUCGUCGGACUGUAAACCAUGUGAACUUUUUGUCUACAAAUGUUUCCUUUAUGCUACAUUUUAUAAGAGAACGAAGAUGAUUCCCGUAUAUUGCCAUAACAUCUUGUGCCUGGAUUUUAAGUGGUGAAAUGGAACAUGUCAAAAGUAAAAUAGUACUGGGAAAGACUCCCGAAGCGCCUAGAUUUUUUAAGCAAAGAUAAUUCCAGGGCUCUGCAUGGAUCGCUCGCGCGCAGAUGGAGAUCAAAGUGUUGCAAGGUUUUAGGAGGAGGAGACAUGCCCCUUGAUAUGCUUGAUAUUCCAUACCAAUAUUUGAAUCCAACUUUUUUCUAUGUCUUGAAAUACGGCAGAGCUACUAAUAUUCGUAUAACCCUGCUGUCUGCGCGAGCGGCGGAUGGUGAAGAGGCCGCCAGGCUUGCACUUGGGGGCAGCGAGCAGCGCAGUAGCUGGCUUGGCUACACCAGCACCUUGAAUAACUUGGGCUUUUCUUUGAGCGGGGAAAAGUUGCAGUUUAUUCAUAUGGCGGAAUCUCCGAGGCUACAACGGUGAGGACUCUCCAGUGGUACCAGGAAGUCAGGAACCAAGUCUUAAUGUCUUAUACAAAGCUUAUUCAAGCAACCCUCCCUAGCCAACAAAUCAGCAGCACUAUUUACUAAUCUUUUAGCCAAAACAACGCAAAACUCAACUAUCGAUGCACUCAACGAUUUGAUCUCAUUGACCAAGUGACCACAACGAUGAAUAUUUUAACAGCCUCAGGUAGGAGCUUUGUUAGGAUUGGCUGCUAUCAAAGAGUGCUUAGAUCCUGUAGUCAUCCUCCCAUUGUACACUUCUGGUAUAUGUUGGACAUUGGUGUACGAUACCAUAGAUGCACAUCGGGUAUUUGACUAGUGGUGUUCUUUCAUAUAUCUAAAGUCAGCAAAAACAUCUUAUCAUGAUUGUCUUGAUUACUUAUGGACGCAUCCCAAUACAUGUCAGGACCAAGAAGAUGACCUCCUUCAUUUGUCUCCAGGAAACCAAACUCUUCCCCUUAACCUGCGCUCCUUUCACUUUCUUCCCUCAAUUGGAUCUGCCGGCGGGAUCCUUACUGCCUGGAACGAUCAGGACUUCUCGGUCUCUUCUGUUACUUCACUCACGUUCUCCUUAACGUUACACUUGGCGGCCAAGGCUAAUAACGAUACCUUCUCAAUCUCGAAUACUUAACCAAAUUAAGCUUCAGGAGCUUCCCCUGCUCGACAGGUUAUAUACCUGGUCCAAUCAGCAGACCCCUCCUAUCCUCGUUCGUUUAGAUAGGGCUUUCGUUAACACCGACUGGAGCUUUCUUCUACCAGACUCUUCUCUCACAUCCUCUUGCCGUACGACGUCAGACCACGUUCCGUUAGUCCUCUCUGCAUCCUCCAAAAUUCCUAAACCAUCCAUCCUUCGCUUCAACAAUGGUCUCCUGCGUUUCCAGCCUUUCAAAAAUCUUAUCACGCAAAAUUGGAACAGUGUUCCUCCCUCUCAGAACUUAGCCUCUCUGUGCCUAAAACUAAAACGGGUGCGGGCCGCAGCCAAUACUUGGGCUAGGAAGGCUAGGUCUCCUCUGGUGAUCACCAAAAACUGUAAAACUGUCAUCACCUUCCUUGACAAGAUAGAAGAAUCGCGUACUCUGUCCACCCUCGAACGCUCCUUGCGCACCCAGGUGGCUCUCUCGCUACAUCAACACAAUGCUCUCUCCGCGCUUUACUGGCGUCAACGUGCCAAAAUUAAGGACUGUUCCCUCGGAGAUGAGAACUCUGAGUAUUUCCACCUUUGCACCACCAUUCGUAUGCGUAAAAACCAGAUAAAGGCUCUCACCGUAAACGGCGUCGAUGUUUCCUCUCACUCAGGCAAGCAUCAGCCUCUACGCGAGUACUUCAAAAAAAAAUCAUCGGCUCUCCAACCGCCUGUCACAUGCCCCCCAACCUUGAUGAGUUGGUUUCAACGUCUCGUCUCAAUUCGUCUCAGUCCAACGCUCUAUGCGUGCCUUUCACCCUAGAUGAACUCAAGAAGGCUUUGCUCUCCAUGAACGACAACGCAAGUCCAGGCCCAGACGGCUUUGGGCCGGCUUUUUACAAAGCAAACUGGGACCUUGUUAAAAACGAUCUGAUGCAUCUUUUAUUUUCUUUUCACUCUUGCACCGCCGACCUUACACGCAUUAACAAGUCCUUUAUCGUUCUCAUUCCUAAAAAACUAGCAACUUCCGAACCAGAUCAUCUCAGGCUGAUCUCGCUUCAGAACUGUUCCGUAAAACUCUGCUCCAAAUGCCUAACUAAUCGAGUUCAACCGCGUAUUCCGGACCUCGUCCACCCUGACCAAUCUGGGUUCAUUAAAGGACGUAACAUUGUGGAAAACUUCAUCCUUGCCGCGGAUAUUGUCCAAGCUUGCCACAAGCGGAAUUGUCCGGCUUUAGUUCUAAAAUUAGACUUUAAGGAAGCCUUCGACUCAGUCUCCUGGGACUGUCUGUGCAAGAUUCUCAAGGUGAAAGGUUUCCCAGAUACUUGGAUACGUUGGAUUAUGAUGUUAAAUAACUCCAGUCAAUCAGCCAUCCUGCUCGACGGUGUCCCCGGGAAUUGGAUCCAAUGCAAAAAUGGCCUUAGGCAAGGCGAUUCAAUCUCCCCAUACCUAUUUAUUAUUGUUGCCGACGUCCUGCAACGUAUGAUUCUUCAUGCCUCCAACCAAGGCCUUCUGCAACAUCCAAUCACCACAAACUCCCCCUGUCCGGUGCUUCAAUAUGCCGAUGACACUCUCAUUAUCAUCAAGGCCGACCCCGACCAUCUAGCCCACCUUAAACUUAUUUUACAUAACUUCCCAUUGGCUACUGGGCUUACGAUCAACUUUGAAAAAAGCACGUUCGCUCCGAUCCACGUAGACCCUCACUCUGCUACGCUUAUGGCAUCCUCUCUAGGUUGCACAGUUGCUUCUUUCCCUCAAAAUUACCUCGGCCUCCCUUUGUCCACGCAUAAAUUACGGCUGCUAGAUUUCCACCCUAUGAUUGCCAAGGUAGACAAGCGGUUGGCCGGUUGGCGAGGACACCUUCUCUCUGCAGCCGGUAGGGCGGUCCUCGUCAAGUCCGUUAUUCGUGCCCUCCCCACCUACGCCAUGAGCGCUAUGCUUCUUCCUGCUGGCACUACUCUAGAGAUCGACAAACGUUGUCGCGCUUUCUUCUGGGCCGGUGACGACACUGUCAAUGGGGGACAGUGUAAGGUUGCUUGGGAUGAGGUUUGUGCACCGAUUCGCAAAGGUGGUCUCGGUUUCCGUUGCCUGCGCACCCACAAUAUUUGCCUCCUCAAAUCGCUAAGUAAAAUCCACUGCCCAGGCAACGCCUCCUGGGAGACGUGGCUUGCUAACACCUACGGCUGGGCCGGUGGGCACUACAUUGGGGACACCCAUAGGUUGCACACGAACGUCUGGAAAGAUCUAACUUCCGGCCUUUCCUUUCUUCGCUCCAUCACCCGGGUCAAAAUUGGCAACGGUAUCUCUAGCGCCUUCUGGCUGGAUCUCUGGAUCAGCGCUGUUCCUCUAGCUUCCCACUAUCCAAAUCUCUUCUCACACACCACCAAACCGAAUGUCUCAGUUGCGUCCGUGCUAGCCGAUGUGGACCUGCGCCUUUCACUACAGCCACGUUUAUCCAACGCUGCUAACUCCGAACAUCAAUCCUUGCGAUCCCUAUUAGCCACUGUUAUCUUAAUGCCGCAGGUGCCAGAUUCACGUAUAUGCAGGAUUAACGUCAAACCCCUCACUGUUGCUUAUGCAUAUGAAGUGGCUUUUGCCUCUCGGCCAGAGGAUCUGUUCGCAGACUUCAUCUGGGGGAAGAACUAUGCGACUAACCGAUGCAGGUUGUUUCUCUGGCUCGCACACAAAGGGCGAUUGUUCACCAACGAGCGUCGAUUCCGAAGAAGUCUCUCAGACUCUGACUCCUGCCCGUUCUGCUCGGAAACUGAGUCAACUUCCCACUUGCUGCUACACUGCCCAACGGCCUCUGAGGUCUGGACGGUCGUCGACUCCCUAAACAUUGCUCCUGCUGAUUGCGAGACUAUACACGACCUGCAAAAUCCACAGCUUACUUGCAAGGCCCGCAACACUGUCAUCUUGGCUAUCCUCUGGAGUAUCUGGAAGAGAAGAAAGGCCAAAAUUUUCCAGAAUGAGGUCGAAUCCUUGGGAACUGUUCUCCGUCGUGCUGCUCAAUAAAUCUUCCUUUGGUCAAACAGAUGUGCUAAUGAGACCCGGAAACAAAUUCUGAUCGACUGGGGAAUUAUGUUGUCCCGUCUGAAUGUAGCUUAGUCCCUAGCUUUUAUUUUUCUCCUNNNNNNNNNNNNNNNNNNNNNNNNNNNNNNNNNNNNNNNNNNNNNNNNNNNNNNNNNNNNNNNNNNNNNNNNNNNNNNNNNNNNNNNNNNNNNNNNNNNNNNNNNNNNNNNNNNNNNNNNNNNNNNNNNNNNNNNNNNNNNNNNNNNNNNNNNNNNNNNNNNNNNNNNNNNNNNNNNNNNNNNNNNNNNNNNNNNNNNNNNNNNNNNNNNNNNNNNNNNNNNNNNNNNNNNNNNNNNNNNNNNNNNNNNNNNNNNNNNNNNNNNNNNNNNNNNNNNNNNNNNNNNNNNNNNNNNNNNNNNNNNNNNNNNNNNNNNNNNNNNNNNNNNNNNNNNNNNNNNNNNNNNNNNNNNNNNNNNNNNNNNNNNNNNNNNNNNNNNNNNNNNNNNNNNNNNNNNNNNNNNNNNNNNNNNNNNNNNNNNNNNNNNNNNNNNNNNNNNNNNNNNNNNNNNNNNNNNNNNNNNNNNNNNNNNNNNNNNNNNNNNNNNNNNNNNNNNNNNNNNNNNNNNNNNNNNNNNNNNNNNNNNNNNNNNNNNNNNNNNNNNNNNNNNNNNNNNNNNNNNNNNNNNNNNNNNNNNNNNNNNNNNNNNNNNNNNNNNNNNNNNNNNNNNNNNNNNNNNNNNNNNNNNNNNNNNNNNNNNNNNNNNNNNNNNNNNNNNNNNNNNNNNNNNNNNNNNNNNNNNNNNNNNNNNNNNNNNNNNNNNNNNNNNNNNNNNNNNNNNNNNNNNNNNNNNNNNNNNNNNNNNNNNNNNNNNNNNNNNNNNNNNNNNNNNNNNNNNNNNNNNNNNNNNNNNNNNNNNNNNNNNNNNNNNNNNNNNNNNNNNNNNNNNNNNNNNNNNNNNNNNNNNNNNNNNNNNNNNNNNNNNNNNNNNNNNNNNNNNNNNNNNNNNNNNNNNNNNNNNNNNNNNNNNNNNNNNNNNNNNNNNNNNNNNNNNNNNNNNNNNNNNNNNNNNNNNNCUGGAGCACCCCGGAGAAGGGGGAGAUCUGGGCUGCGUCCAGCGGUCCGUCCCAGGUGCUGGAGACCCCUGCCGCCCCGUCGUCGCGGAUCUGCGCCUCGGCCUCGUUCUCCCUGCGCGGAUUGGCAUGCUGCAGCCUCUGCCCCAGCGGACAACUCCGUGCCUCCCCAGUUUGGGGGCAAUCGCCUCAAAUCCAUUGUGGUGGUGCCGUCCCCCCAAGCUCGGCCGGUGGACGGAGGCAUUGAAGAUGGCUGGACGCUCCAUCAAUCCCGCAAGAACCGGCGCGCGUGCUCUGAUCCAGCGGGCUCCGGCCGGAUCCGGAAACAGCACCCCCCCCCCCGGUCGCCAUCGCCACAACUCCGGCCGCGAGGCCUUUUUAAGCAGGUUCAAAGGUCUCUGUUUCCGAUGCCUGAGCACUCGCCAUCGUAGGAUAGAUUGUAGAGACCCCUUGCGCUCCAUCAUCUGCAAGCGGCAGGGGCACUACGGCUGGGAAUGCCCGCAAAAUCAACGCAACAAGAGAGGGGGGGGGGGGCUCUGCUAGAGAGCGGCUGGGUGAUCUUGGGCGCCCGGUCUCCCCUGCCCACGGCUCCUCAUCACCACCGCCACCUCCACCUCCGCCGCCCGCCCCUCACCACCCCCCUGCGGCCAUGGAGCUCGCACCGGCCAUGGACCACGCCCGCCGCCCGCGCAACAGCGACAAGGUCAUCGCCUCCACCCCUGUAAUGGAGCACCAGGUGUUCCUGCUGAACCAGCACGCCGUCAUCAUCACUGCGGUGGGCACCAAGGUGCACGCUGCUAGCCCCCUGUCCAUCGGGAGGGCGCUGGAGAGGGAGCUCAAGAUCCCGAAGACUUCUUCGUCUUCUUCAACCUGCCGGCGCACAAGGACCUGGCGGUGCGGCACGACUCGCUCACCGUCGAUGGGGUGCCAUUCCUGCUCGAGCCGUGGCGGGAGGACGCCCAUGCUGUGCACCAGAAGUGGAUGCUGCACGUCCAGGUGGUGAUCGAGAAGCUGCCCAUGCAGCUCUGGCUGCUCGAGGGCGCCGUGGAGGCCAUUGGAGACAAGGUGAUUGUCGACCGCCUCGACAGCCGGACCUUUGAGCGCGCCGACACCAAGCUUUUCGUGUGCUGGGUCUGGGUCUGGAGCCUCUCCUUCAUCCCGACCAAGCGCACGAUCUGGAAGCAUGCGAGGGGGGCGGGCCGCGUGGAGGAGAUGCAAGGCUACUCUCCACUGAGCCGCGCGGUCGCUCCCCCGCCGGAGCUGCGGCAGUACGACCUGCUGCUGCAUGUCGACCGUGUUGAAGACUGGACGCCGCUCUCGCCGCGCUCCUCGCACUCGCCGCAGAGCGGCCUCCCCUCCGACGACGAUGAUGAGGAUGACCGCCCAUACCCCCGCAUCGACCCCGGGGUCUGGACCGUGCGCGUCGAGGAUGGGCGGCCCGCGCAGGCCCUGGCGCCCCUGCUGCACCCGCCGCCGCGCGUCGCCUCCUCUGGCUGCAAGGGGAUGCCGUCGGGUGGCGCACUCAGAGGACACGACAGAGAUGACCCGGGCUACCACCGGCGCUCAUGGAAGGACACGCUGCUGAGGAGGGGGCGCGCGGGCGACCACGGCAAGACGUCCGCGGCCAGUACCAGGCACCGCAGUCGCACCCCGGUGUCGAGGCACCGCCAUUGUGCACCUGGGGACUGGCAGCUCGACGUCGGUGCAUGCAAACAGCCUGCCCAAGAGCGCGCCCCUGGCGGAUCGAGGGGCAAGAGCAGGGAGGACGCCCGCCCAUCGGCCUCCCGGGGCAAGGAGCCUGCCAAGGAGAGGUUGCUGCCGCCGGGGCAGGGGGGCGCCUGUGUUCCUUCUCACCCCGCCACGCAAGCUGCACCGUGACGCUGCUUCCUCCUCAACCACGCCGGCGGAUUACCCAGUGGCUGAAUUCUUUGAGGGGGACAAGAAGCAGCUAGCUCCACCCAAGCACCCCGACGCCGUGGCUUCGGUGCUGGACGAGGUGAUCACGGCCAAGUUGAAAAAGCCUCUCAAUUUCGGCGACGAAGACAGAGCCAGCAGAGAGUCUCUGGACAUGGGGCUGGCGCUGUCCCUGGCACGCCACACCCCCACCACCACGACCUCACACGCGCUCCAGCUGGGGGCCGUGACCAGGCAGGUGACCGAGCUGCAGCUUGGAGGGGGCGGUGGAAGCAAGGUUCGCGGCCACCAACCCUCCCUUUCUUCACCAGCGUGCCUACUCCGGUGGUCGGCAAGCCUCCAGCAAGAGACAAGCCCCCCCGCAAGACUACCAUCGCUCGCCAAGCAAGUAACCCGUCGUUAGUACCCCCCGCGCAAAGAGCAACGCUCCGCCUCGUGCAUGGCCUCGGGAUCCUGGGACCGAGGGAGAAGAUGACGGCGGUUGUGGCUGAGGCGCUCAUCCGCCAUUUCGACGAGCCUCUGGCAGACGAUUACAUCACCGCGAUCGCGCGGCUGAUCUGCCUGGACGCCCAGGCCCUCAAGGCAGCUGCUGGCAUGCUUGGCCCUGAUGGAGAGGCCUCCGGCCACCCAGGCUCCACAUGUUAGUUCACCACUGUAGUCGACGACGACCAGCCAUGCGCUGGAUGAAGUUAGGUUGUAGUAUGUUUGCCUUAGGGCUCGCGAGUUGUAACAGUAGUUGGGCAUGGUUGCUAGUUGUUUGCCGGCGGGGUUUUGGGCCUAUUGGUGGCCGCCGGCAACCCCCAGAUGGUAGGAUUGUGUACUCGUCUCUAUUUUCAGUAAAACGUAGCCGUCGUCGUCCAUGCCGGGCUCGUCUCCAUGGCCAGCCUCUUGCGGAUGAUCUUGGUUCCAAAUGAGUAGCACAACCUGCCCGAUCUUGAGCUGAAAUGUCCGGGGCCUAAACAACCCUGCCCGACGCUCCGUAGUGCAAGGCACUACAAACACGCACCGCCUCGCCAUUCUUUGCAUUCAGGAAGUAGGGGGGCAGAGACUUGACGACUGCAUCGUCUUGCCAGCUAAUGGCACAACAGGAGGCGCUGCCAUCUUCUGGGAUUCAACCUCGGUCCGAAUCCAGUCCCAUGCGAUCGGCGAGCUCUCCAUCAUGACCAAAGUUUCAGUCCUCUCCUCAGGGUGUAGUUUUUGGCUGACAACGGUCUACGGUCCAUCGGAGGGGGCGCGAAAGGAUAGUUUUCUGGCUGAACUAGUGAGGAGCGCCCCUCCCCAAGGCGAGGCCUGGCUCCUCAAUGGAGAUUUCAACAUUAUCUACGAGGCCCGCGACAAAAACAAUAGCAACAUAAAUAGGAGGAUCAUGGGAAAAUUUAGAGCGGCAAUCGACGCUGAUGGGCUACGAGAGAUUAAAUGCAAAAAUAGGCGUUUUACAUGGAGUAGCGAACGCCAAGACCCAACUCUUGCGAGCAUAGAUAAGUUUUUCUGCACGGUCGAAUGGGAGGGCAUGUUCCCCAAUUUCAUGUUGCACGCGGCUUCCACCUCGUGCUCGGAUCACUGCCCGCUGCUCCUCGCGGCAGCUGCAGCCCCUCGUUAGGCGCCGCGGUUCCGUUUUGAGUCCUUCUGGCCAAGGUUCCCUCGUUUUCACGAGACUGUAGAAAGAGCAUGGCAACACCCAGCCCCAACAACUUGCGCUUUUGCUCGCCUGAACAUUAAGAUGCAUAGGGUAGCCAGAGAACUAAAAAUUUGGAGUAAAUCGCUGUUUAGUGAUGCAAAGGUACAACUGCAGCUGGCCACGCUGGUUGUGCUACGCUUGGACAUCGCACAAGAAUGUCGGCCGCUCACAGAGGGAGAAUUCCACCUGCGAAAGCUUUUGAAACUGUGAAUUCUAGGGCUAGCGGCGGUGGAGAGGGCCCGGAAACGCCAGGCAUCUAGGAUAACAUGGCUGCAAGCAGGCGAUGCCCAAACAGCCUUCUUCCAGGCCUAGAUCAAUGGCAGGCACCGAAAAAACUUCAUCCACUCAUUGCAAGGACCGGCUGGAGUUGCCACAACUCAUGAUGAAAAGGAGGAACUAGUCCACAGCCAUUUCGAUAGAUCUUUAGGGACUAGACAGGGCCGAGCCAGCACAAUUGAUUGGAGCUACAUCGACAUGCCAAGGGUGCAAGGCGGCGGCCUAGACAACCCUUUCACCGAGCACGAAGUGUGGCAAGCAAUCAAACAAUGGCCGGCGGAGAAAUCACCUGGCCCGGACGGGUUCUCCGGCGUUUUCUUCAGAAUUUGCUGGCAAACCAUAAAGAGGGAUAUCAUGGAGGUUUUUCAUCAGUUCUACCACCUCGCCGGAGGAAAUUUCCAGAUGCUCAACACAACUGCUGUAGUGCUCCUUCCAAAGAAAGACGGCGCCGCUACAAUCACCGGCUACAGGCCCAUUAGUUUGAUACACUCCAUAGCAAAACUGAUCUCGAAAGUUCUCUCCCUCCGCUUAGCAACGGUGAUUCAGAACUUGAUCUCCCUGGCGCAGACGGCUUUCCUCUGAACCAAAUGCAUAGAUGACAGCUUCCUCUACGUGCAAAACUGCGUCAAGUCCCUCCACGCCAAGAAGACGCUGGCCCUGCUACUCAAAUUAGACAUCUCAAAGGCCUUCGAUAAUGUUUCUUGGGAUUAUCUGCUUGAGCUGCUUCAACAACUAGGUUUUAGCGCGCGAUGGCGAGAUUGGAUUGCUCUCCUCCUCUCCACCUCCUCGUCGACCUUCCUGCUCAACGGCAUCGCAGGGCCAAUGAUUAGACACCGCAAGGGGCUGCGGCAGGGUGACCCUCUCUCGCCACUCUUAUUUAUCCUAGCCAUUGAUCCGGCACAUAGAGUGCUCAAAGCGGCGGUGGAGCAAGACCUGAUAUCACCAUUGCCAGGCCGAGAGAGCAAGCUCAGAGUCAGCCUCUAUGCGGAUGACGCGGUCAUCUUCGCAAACCCGGACCGGCAUGAAAUAGACACCAUCAUGGAGAUCCUAAUUGAGUUCGGAAAAGCCACUGGCUUGCAUGUCAACCCGGCGAAAUCAAUAGCAACACCGAUCAGAUGCGAGAAUUUUGAUCUCGCUGAGAUCCUCAGUAGUUUUGGCGGCUCCAUUACCUCCUUCCCUAUAAAGUACUUAGGCCUCCCCAUGAAGACCGCAUGGCUUAGAUUAGUGCACAUGUAGUUCCUCAUCGAUAGAAUUAGGGCUAGGUUAGCAGGAUGGAAAGACCGGCUGCUCCCUUUUGUCAGCAGAAGAGAGCUGGUCCGGAGCGUCCUCAGCGCGAUGACCACCUUUGCCCUCUCAGUGCUGCAAGUGCCACCAAAGCUGCUCAAGGAGAUUGACAAGUGCAGGAGUAGAUUCCUUUGGAAGCAGGAGGAGGCGAUAUCAGGGGCGAGCUGCAAGGUAAAUUGUCCAACGGUGUGUACUCCAACCGAGAGGGGUGGACUCGGGAUCCUGGACCUUCAAAGUUUCAGCCGAGCCCUCCGGCUACGUUGGCUAUGGAUUGCAUGGAAGGACCCGGACAGAUCAUGGGUUGGCACACCACCGCCAUGCGACGAGGAUGACAGAGCAUUAUUUGCCGCAGCAACAACGGUGACUGUUGGCGAUGGCAGAACAAUGAUCUUCUGGCAAUCAACCUGGCUGGGACCAGGAACCCUUGCUCAGAGGUACCCAAACCUGUUCCACCACUCCCGAUGCAAAAACAUGACUGUCUAUGAAGCGCUGCACAACCACACUUGGAUCAGCGACCUUGAGCAUGGUGAUGUCAACCAGCUACUGCCGGAUUUCCUGCAGCUGCACCAAAGAAUUCGAGAGGCAAACAUCAUACUCAAUGGAGAAGAAAGGGACCAAAUUCGGUGGAACCUUGAGGCGAAAGGAGGAUACACAGCAAACUCUGCUUACAAAAUGCAGUUCCAGGGCCGGCACUUGUCCGAGUUCGAUAGCAUCAUAUGGAAAACUUGAGCUCCAGGGAAGAUCAAGAUGUUUUUUUGGCUGCUACUGCAGGACCGAGUCUGGUCAAACAAUAGGCUCCAGCGUUGGGGCUAGCCGAAUGGCUACUUCUGCCAGCUCUGCCACAGAAAUCUUGAAACAAGCAAGCACAUAUUCUGGGAAUUCCCCAAGGCAUGGAGCGUGUCGCAACUGGUGGCAUCAUGGCGCGGUUGUUCCACCUUCCACCGAAGGAUGAGUGGCGCCAGAAGCAACCGGUGCUGACCAUCAGAGAAAUCAUCAAUAAGACAGCGCCAAGGGAAAGGAAAGGAACAAAAACCAUACAGCUGGCAGCAUGCUGGGAGAUCUGGCAUGAACGGAAUAGAUGCACCUUCCAAAACAAGGCAGCCUCCACCUCUGGCAUUUUGAGGGAAUUGAGAAACUCGAUGGAGUUAUGGAGACUCACUGGAGCGAACUGUAUUGAGAGCCCGUUCGGGGAACCACCGUGAGAUUUUUGGCUUCUAAAAUACCUUUUUUACGUUCUUUUCUU
rnacentral:lncRNA from 1 species